AACGAACGCUGGCGGCAUGCCUAACACAUGCAAGUCGAACGAGACCUUCGGGUCUAGUGGCGCACGGGUGCGUAACGCGUGGGAACCUGCCCUUAGGUUCGGAAUAACUCCCCGAAAGGGGUGCUAAUACCGGAUAAUGUCUUCGGACCAAAGAUUUAUCGCCUUUGGAUGGGCCCGCGUUGGAUUAGCUAGUUGGUAGGGUAAAAGCCUACCAAGGCGACGAUCCAUAGCUGGUCUGAGAGGAUGAUCAGCCACACUGGGAAUGAGACACGGCCCAGACCCCUACGGGGGGCAGCAGUGGGGAAUAUUGGACAAUGGGCGAAAGCCUGAUCCAGCAAUGCCGCGUGAGUGAUGAAGGCCUUAGGGUUUUAAAGCUUUUUUACCCGGGAUGAUAAUGACAGUCCCGGGAGAAAAAACCCCGGCAAACCCCGG
rnacentral:rRNA from 1 species